rnacentral:lncRNA from 1 species
CCCAGGGUGUUUGCUUCUCUUGGCCAAGGUCAGAUAGUUAAAAGUUAAUAGAUUGGAGACUUGAAUAGUACUGCAAAGCCAGUGCUCUCAACCUUUAUCCAGAAGCACAAAAUCAGAUGCAAACUGAAACCAGAGAGGUACACAGAAUUAAUGGAUCCAGCUGGGGGCAAUAAAGGAAGGGUUAUAAAACUGGAAAGCAGAUGCCCCAUCUAAAGGUACAGUUCCUGUUUGGCUCCAACUGAUCAAUCAUUUCCAUGAAGAAUAGGCACGUUGCAGAGCCAUGUCUUUGAUUUUCAACGAGAAGCAGAAAUCCUGCAUUGUUCAUACAAAUUUCCUGAUUUUUAAGUGCAGGCUACAAGUCCAUCACAACAGUCCUGGUUUUCAAGCCGACCUCGUAGACCUCAGGGCUAUGGCCGGUGCUCUUCUCUAAGUCCUCUUGAUAGAUCACAGCAGUGGCUCAGCCCAUCUGUAAAAGCCAUCGAAGAUCUUCCCAUCUAUUUCAGAGGCUGGGAACAUGAUGCAAGCCCUCCAGUGAGUGACAGCGAAGGUGACCCAUCCAUCUUCGAUUGCCUGGAACUUUCCUGAUUUCAAAAGGGUAAGUCUUAUGCUCUGGGAAUCUGCAGUCCCAGGCAAAGUGUGACAACUGGUCACCUCUUUAUAGCAGGGAAUGGGCUUCUGGCAUCUGCAAAGCUCUGGAAGGUCAACCAACCAGACCUUCAGAAUGUGUCCUUUCAGGGGAAUUUUGCUAUCCUUAGAGGUGCUAAUUUGCUAAAGCGUCUGUGUCUCCACUUCAAAAAUUAAACUGCCUCAGAUGCCAGGGAGCGACGUUCCCUAGGACAGCCCCCAAAAGCAAGUUUCCUAGAAACUCUCUGCAAUGGGGCGAGAAGGGCACCGGAAGAGCAGCGGACGUCCUGGAGAAAGCUGCUGGUGGUGAUUCGGCAGAGAAUCCUAAUUCGAAUCCAGUGGGAGCUCGCCAUUAUCGGGGCGCACACGGCUCCAGAUGUGAGGCUGCCCCUUACUGCUCGGAAGUGAAUGUGAUGGCUGGAGCCCCAACAGCCAUCUUUGCCAAUGAGGACAAGAGCCAUAUUAGAGGUAAGUGGAAAGUUGGAGGGAGCCUGGAGUCUUUGACCAUCAUGGAACAACCGCACCAACCAGAACUUAUGUUUGAAGCAAUGGCUCUCAUGACAGAGCUGCCCUUCUGGAGUUGCCCUGUUACUUCAGCCCAAAUUAAUUCUAACUAAAUCAGUUAUGUAAAUUGGCACAUAAUUCAAUUUACUGACUCACCAUCAAGCUCUCAACAACCAAAAAAUUGACGAUGCUGACUUUAUGUCCAGAAGCAGGUACUUUGGACUUUCUAGCACAGAGGAACCCAAGUUAUAUGUAUGUAUGUAUGUGUAUAUAUAUGUGUGUGUGUGUGUGUGUAUGUGUGUGUGUAGGUAUAUACACACAUAUAUGUGUACAUAUGUAUAACUUGAGUUAUAACAUAUAGAUGUAUAUAUACUUACAUCAUACA